rnacentral:rRNA from 1 species
GACGAACGCUGGCGGCGUGCCUAAUACAUGCAAGUCGAACGCAUUUUCUUUCACCGUAGCUUGCUACACCGAAAGAAAAUGAGUGGCGAACGGGUGAGUAACACGUGGGUAACCUGCCCAUCAGCGGGGGAUAACACUUGGAAACAGGUGCUAAUACCGCAUAAUUCCAUUUACCGCAUGGUAAAUGGAUGAAAGGCGCUUUUGCGUCACUGAUGGAUGGACCCGCGGUGCAUUAGCUAGUUGGUGGGGUAACGGCCUACCAAGGCUGCGAUGCAUAGCCGACCUGAGAGGGUGAUCGGCCACACUGGGACUGAGACACGGCCCAGACUCCUACGGGAGGCAGCAGUAGGGAAUCUUCGGCAAUGGACGCAAGUCUGACCGAGCAACGCCGCGUGAGUGAUGAAGGUUUUCGGAUUGUAAAACUCUGUUGUUAGAGAAGAACAAGGAUGAGAGUGGAAAGUUCAUCCCUUGACGGUAUCUAACCAGAAAGCCACGGCUAACUACGUG